rnacentral:tRNA from 1 species
GUCCCUGUAGCGCAAUGAAUAGCGCGUUGGACUUCUAAUCCAAAGGUCGUGGGUUCGAAUCCCACCUAGGAUG